CGGAAUGUAGCGCAGCCUGGUAGCGCACCUGCAUGGGGUGCAGGGGUCGGAGGUUCGAAUCCUCUCAUUCCGACCA
rnacentral:tRNA from 1 species